rnacentral:rRNA from 1 species
CCUACGGGGGGCUGCAGUCGAGAAUCUUCCACAAUGGACGCAAGUCUGAUGGAGCGACAUCGCGUGACUGAUGACGGGCUUCGGUCUGUAAAGGUCUUUUAUGAAGGAAGAAGUUUAUUGACGGUACUUCAUGAAUAAGGGGUUGCUAAACUCGUGCCAGCAGCAGCGGUAAUACGAGUACCCCGAGCGUUAUCCGGAAUUAUUGGGCGUAAAGGAUGUGUAGGUGGUUAUGUUAGUCGUGUGUUAAAGCCCGGAGCUCAACUUCGGAUCCGCAU